CCGCGUGAGUGAUGAAGGCCUUAGGGUUGUAAAGCUCUUUUACCCGGGAUGAUAAUGACAGUACCUGGAGAAUAAGCUCCGGC
rnacentral:rRNA from 1 species